UUAAGUACGUUCUAAAUAUUUAACGAUUUUUGAAACUUAUUAUAUUUAUAUAUUUAAUGUAUAUUUAAAUAUAUUCUAAAUAUUUUAACGAUUUGUGCAAUCAAGAAUAAUUUUAGAAUUUUAAGUUGAAAAGAAUUUGAAUUACGAAAAUCGAUUGAAUUUAGAAAACAAUCCUAUUCGGUUUGACUCAAACACUAAAACUCAAAUCCUAAUUCUAGGCCCAAUUGGGUAAAGCCCAAAUCAAUAAACCCAAAAUAAUCCUCCUCCUUCCUCUUUUCUUUUUCACGUGAAACCAAGAAACCUUCCUUCUUGCUUUAGCCUUCACGUGAAAACACAAAUCAAAAUCUUGCAACCUCCUUACUCUCAGCCGCCAAUCAACCACCGCUGGACCACCGUCGUCCCUUGGCGCCGUCCUCCUCUGCCGCCACCACCCAUCGCCGCCACCACCUGGUCGCUGCGGGUGUGCCCCUUUGUCGUGCCACCUUGCUGCACCGCACGCCAGCCAUAGCCGCGCCUUUCCAGCCAGCUUCCUCUUCUCUUUUCUUGCUUCUCCUUUGCGUGGUACCACCGCGACGUCGCACCACCACUGUCGCCGCACCACCAGACGCCGACCGUCCCACUGCCGCGCCCCCUGCUGCCGGCCAUCACUCUCUUCCUCACUUUUUGGUGGAGAAUUCUCUUUAGGCGACUUUUAAAAGUGUUAAAGUGACGUAUCAGUUUGUUUACACAAGUCUCUAAGGAUCAAUAAGCAUUGUCCAUCUGCAGGUUUGAAGAUGUUGCAUCAUUGGGAUCGGGAAUAGAGAGCUUGUAUUUAGUUUUGAUUUGCUAAAUUAACUUGGGUUUGUUAAUUGGGACUUUAAACUUGUCGUACUAUUUAUAUUUCCUUAUUUUCGUUGGUUGAUUUUUGGGGACUAAAUCUGUAAUCGAUUAUUUAUAAACCUAAAGUUAGUUUUAUGUUUUCCGCUGCAAAAUUCUGAAUAAGCCGUUACGUUUUCACACGGGCGAUAAUGCCUUGAUAAUUCUCUACGUUUUAUAUUAA